rnacentral:lncRNA from 1 species
AUGAACGACAAGGUCCUCUUGAACUUUGUCCUGCUUCAAACAAAAGAAUUCCAAAAGAAAAAAAGAACCGUUUUCCUGCAGGAAACAAAAAUGAGCCCUCCUAUCAGAAAUGUUGUUAUGGCACUGCUAGUUGUGCUUUUAAUUACAACUACUGAGGCCGACGUUCAAAUUCCUAGGACCAAAAGAGUCAGAAUCACCAACUCGUUGGCAAGCUACGUGGACAUGAAGGUCCACUGUAAAUCCGGUGAGCAUGACCUAGGGGAGCAGAUAGUUCGUCCAACGGAGAGCUAUGAGUUCCGUUUCAAAACAAAUUUUCUGGGAACCACAUUAUUCUUCUGCAGCUUUCAGUGGGGGAAUGAGUUUCAUUAUUUCGAUGUUUACAAGAACGGUAGGGACGACUGUAGCAAAUGCUUUUGGACUAUUGUUGAAAACGGACCUUGCUUGUAUGGCGUUCAGGGUGUCUGCCAUCAGUGGAACAAAAAUUAG